rnacentral:sRNA from 2 species
GAGAAAGCGUUGCCGCAGGCAACGACCCGAAGGGCGAAGCGCGCAGCGCUGAGUAAUCCUUCCCCCACCACCA